GACGAACGCUGGCGGCGUGCUUAACACAUGCAAGUCGAACGGUAAGGCCCUUCGGGGUACACGAGUGGCGAACGGGUGAGUAACACGUGGGUGAUCUGCCCUGCACUUCGGGAUAAGCCUGGGAAACUGGGUCUAAUACCGGAUAGGACCACUGCCUGCAUGGGUGGUGGUGGAAAGCUUUUGCGGUGUGGGAUGGGCCCGCGGCCUAUCAGCUUGUUGGUGGGGUGAUGGCCUACCAAGGCGACGACGGGUAGCCGGCCUGAGAGGGUGACCGGCCACACUGGGACUGAGAUACGGCCCAGACUCCUACGGGAGGCAGCAGUGGGGAAUAUUGCACAAUGGGCGCAAGCCUGAUGCAGCGACGCCGCGUGAGGGAUGACGGCCUUCGGGUUGUAAACCUCUUUCAGCACCGACGAAGCGCAAGUGACGGUAGGUGCAGAAGAAGGACCGGCCAACUACGUGCCAGCCGCCGCCGUAA
rnacentral:rRNA from 1 species